rnacentral:rRNA from 1 species
GACGAACGCUGGCGGCGUGCUUAACACAUGCAAGUCGAACGGAAAGGCCCUGCUUGCAGGGUACUCGAGUGGCGAACGGGUGAGUAACACGUGGGUGAUCUGCCCUGCACUUCGGGAUAAGCCUGGGAAACUGGGUCUAAUACCGGAUAGGAGCCAUUUUUAGUGUGAUGGUUGGAAAGUUUUUUCGGUGUAGGAUGAGCUCGCGGCCUAUCAGCUUGUUGGUGGGGUAAUGGCCUACCAAGGCGGCGACGGGUAGCCGGCCUGAGAGGGUGGACGGCCACAUUGGGACUGAGAUACGCCCCAGACGCCUACGGGAGGCAUGAGUGGGGAAUACUGCACAAGGGGCGCAAGCCGGAUGCAGCGACGCCGCGUGGGGGAGGACGGCCUUCGGGUUGUAAACUCCUUUCGCUAGGGACGAAGCUUUUUGUGACGGUACCUAGAUAAGAAGCACCGGCUAACUACG